rnacentral:rRNA from 1 species
GAUGAACGCUGGCGGCGUGCCUAACACAUGCAAGUCGAGCGGAGAAUUGUUGCUUGCCACAAUUCUUAGCGGCGGACGGGUGAGUAACACGUGGGUAACCUGCCCUAAACAAAGGGAUAACAAUGAGAAAUCAUUGCUAAUACCGUAUAAGCUUACACUAUCGCAUGAUAGAGUAAGAAAAGAUUUAUCGGUUUAGGAGGGGCCCGCGUCUGAUUAGCUAGUUGGAGAGGUAACGGCUCACCAAGGCGACGAUCAGUAGCCGACCUGAGAGGGUGAUCGGCCACAUUGGGACUGAGACACGGCCCAAACUCCUACGGGAGGCAGCAGUGGGGAAUAUUGCACAAUGGAGGAAACUCUGAUGCAGCAACGCCGCGUGAAGGAAGAAGGUUUUCGGAGCGUAAACUUCUAUCUACAGGGAAGAAAAAAAUGACGGUACCUGAGGAAGAAGCCCCGGCUAACUACGUG